UAGACCAAGUGACCAAUGCAGAAAAUAUUCCCCCGGACCAGAAACCGCAUUAAAUGCUGGUCAGCCAGGCAGAUGUCUAAGAAACAUCGGCAGAAGAUCCUCCUAAAAAUGAAGGAGACCCAUCUGGAAACAGAAACCGCACAAUCUGAAUACUCACCAUGCAAAAAACUAAAAGGGUCAGCCAGUGAAGAACUUCAUUUCAGUCACAAAACCAGUGGAUUUUCACUUUAAAAUGGAUGAUCGACUCAAGCGUAAUGGCAAUCAGCCUGAGGGAGAUGGCUACAAGGAGGUUGACUUUGCUUUGGCGCUAAGAAAACACCCAACAUCACCAGUGAGUUUAGGACUGUGGAGGUUAUAGUAUUUAUUGUGACCUAGGUGUGGGAGAGCAUAAAUGUAAUUUUCUUGGGCUGUACCCAUAAGUCCAGGUUACCAAAGGAGGACACACCGUCCCAAAACCCUUCAACCUGUCCAAGGGCAAACGUAAACAUGAGGAGGAUUCAGACUUUGUCUUCACUGCUGAGCAGGUGGUUGCCUUCUACAGAAGAACUCCAGCACAUUACCACCUGCGCAGCCGCCAGAAGGAGAUGGAGGGAUGAUUAGUUUAAAUUUCACUAUAUAUAACGUACAUUUUUUUUUUGUAUUAUAAAUUGUUAUUGAUCAUUCAGAAAAUUAUGGUAUGGGGUAGGGGUACAGAAGGAAAAAGAGGAGAGGGGAGGGAAACAGUAUUACAAUAGUACAUGGCACAAAUCUCACAUUUUCAGACCUUGCAUUAUACAAUCUGUGUACUAUUACCUGGUUACAAUAUUAUUUCAAAACCAAUGUUCCUAAAUAUUCAUAAGUUCUUCAUACUCAGAAGAAUCCCUAAACAAGAACCACCAUGUCCAAACAUUCCUAAAAUCUGCAUGUUGUUUCCCAUUGUAGGAAGAUAAUUCUUCAAACCUAACUAUUUCAUUCACUUUAUCUAUCCACUCUUUAGGCUUAGGAGAAGUAGAAGAUUUCCAUAGUCUAUGUAUUAGUAUGUUAGCCACAUUAAGUAAAUGCCUUUCUAAUGUAGAAUCUGGAACAUUUUCUGCAUGGUCUUCUUCCCAAAAGAGGAGAACUCGGGCUGGUGACUCGGGUAUUACUCUACCUAAGAUCUGUGCACACAACUGAAGGAUUAAUGACCAGUAAUUAGUAAGGUUGGGGCAUUCCCAGAAAAUGUGAAGGAGUGUGCCAAUCUCCGAUUUGCAUCUCAAACUUACAUUACUCACUGCGGGAUAUAUUGAUCUCAAUUUAUGUGGAGUGUAGUACCAUCUACUUAAGAGCUUGUAAUUUAGUUCUUGAAUCUUUCAACACCUCAAACUAAACAUUAAAUUCACUAUUCCUUGUCUCAUACCUUCUUCAGUUCCAUCCAUUUUAAGAUCCCGUUUUUAUUAUUUAUUAACAUGUAUUUAUAUAGCGCCAACAUAUUGCGUAGCACUGUUCCCAUGACUUUAUAAAGGGUAAUUGUUUCCUCUUUCCUAAUGCACCUGGCAUAUCAUAUAAGUAGGAAAUCCCAUGUUUUGGUGGGGGGGGAAGUAUUAUUACAUAACUUCUCGAAUGGGGAGAGGGGUCUCCCCAUCUUUCCAUUGCCUCCCAUAUAUGAGUAAAAUGUCUAAGUUAGUAGUAUUGGAAAUUCUUUAGUUUGCUGUUAGGUCUAGCUUGUCUAAGAAGAUCUAAGUCAGCAAGCUGACCUCUUUCCAUAAUAUGUAUGAAUUGCAAAUGACCCUCUACGAGCCAUUCUUUAAAGUUAUGGCAAUUAAGUUCUGGGGGGAAUGCUGGGUUAUUGGUAAUAGGAGUGAGAGGUGAGGGAAAAGUGGUGAAUUUAGAUUUCCCCUUCACAGCGUCCCAUGUAGCCAGUGUACCUUUUAAUAAGAGGUGGGAAUUAUGUAGUAUUCUCUGGUUUACCUUGUCAAUCCAUGGGAAAUGUAUCAAAUGUGUAGCAGUUGAUUGCUGUUCAAUUUCUACCCAAUCUUUGUUGUCUAAAUGAUGGGACCAAUCAAUUAUCCUAGCUAAUUGCACAGCCUUUAGAUAACGGGCACCAUCAGGGAGUGCUAGGCCCCCUCUACCUUGCUUCUGAACAACGUGGUGGUUUUGAUUCUUGGAUGUUGACCCUUCCAAAUAAAUUUAAGUAUAAUGCAUUGAAAAGUCUUAAUCCAGUUGCUUGGAUAUGGCAAUGGUACACACUGGAAUAAAUACAAUAGACCUGGCAUAACGUUCAUCUUUACAACAUUGAUUCUCCCUAACCAGGACAGAGGUUGUUUGGUCCAGUUCUGUAUAUCUUUGUUCAGUCUAGUAAAUGGAGCUUUACAAUUAACUUCCACCCACUCAUUAUAUUCCUUUUUAAUAAGUAUUCCUAAAUAGGAAAAUUGCCCUUUCGCCCAGCUGUACGGGAAGUUUGGGGAAAGUUCUUGAAUUAUACGCUCUGAGAGAGAGACAUUCAUGGCUAUGGAUUUAUUAAAGUUGACUUUAAAGUUACUAAUCUUACCAAAAGCUUCAAAUAAUUUAUUCAAGUUUAGGAUUCGUUAAAAAAAAUAGCAAAUCAUCAGCAUAUGCUGCUACCUUAUAAUGUUUAUGUCUUAUCUUAACCCCGUGGAUAUCCGGGUGUUGACGAAUCUGUUUUUAGAAAAGGUUCCAGAGCCAAGACAAACAGUGUAGGUGAAAGAGGGCAGCCUUGACCAUUUUUAAUUGUAAGAUAGUCCGAAAACACUCCAUUCACCCUGACUCGAGCCACUGGGCCUUUAUAUAGGGAUUUAAUCCAUUGACAAAGGCUAUCCCCAAAUCCAAAUUUAUUGAGACAAGCAAACAUAUAGGCCCAGCUGACUCUAUCAAAGGCCUUUAUAACAUAAGGGGUGUUUUCUUGAGCUCAGCAUGAUGUAGAAUAUUAAUCAAUUUGUUGAUAUUAUCUCUAGUUUCCCUUCCAGGUACAAAGCCUGCUUGGUCCAAUCCUAUCAAGUGGCCAAAAGCCGAUUGUAUUCUAGAAGCGACUAUCUUGGCUAAUAAUUUUGCGUCUACGUUAAUUAAGGAGAUAGGCCUAUAGCCUCCGGGAUCUUCUGGGUUUUUAUUGGCUUUUAAGAGCAGGGAGAUAUGGGCUUCUAGAGAGUGGUGUGAGAACUGGGCUUUCUUUUGUAAAGCAUUAAAUGCCUGCACCAUGUGCGGAAUGAGUAGUUCCGAACAUUCUUUAUAAUACGUGGACGUAUAGCCGUCCGGGCCAGGGCUUUUUCCGCCCGGAGAUGAACUUAUUGCUUGGGAAAGUUCUUCUGCAAAAUAUCUGUUUCUAGGGCUUGCUGUUGCACCGGGAAAAAUUGUGUAAUCGGGAGUGUAUUAAGGAAUUUCUCUAAAGCCAUGGCUUGGGGAAGGUCAUCCAUUAUUGUGGGAGUCUGUAUUUGAUAUAACUUGGUGUAAUAUCUAUGGAAUUCUUGGGCUAUCUGAGGGCUACUAUGCACUUUUCCCUUUUCAAGGGACUGUAAACAAUGUAUAUGAUUUCUGGUUACCCUAGCUUUUAAAAGGCGGGCCAAUAACUACAUUUAUCCCCAUGUUCAUAAAAUCGAUGUUUCAUUCUUGUGACAACUUUUUCAGCAAAUAAAUUAUGAUGAUUAGCUAAAUCUGUGGGUAGACAGACUAAUUUUGCAAAAAGCUCUGCUUUGGGCAUAUGUUUAUUAGCUGCUUCUACCCUUCUGAUUUCUUUCAAUAAAUUUUUAUGCUUGUGUGCUUGUUUUCUCCUGAAACCUAGUUGGAUUAAAAUCCCCUGAAUAUAACAUUUAUGCGCCUCCCAGAUUGUCACCGGACUAACAUCCUCAGUUAUAUCUUCCUUGAAGUAUGUCUUAAUGGCAGAUUUAAUUUUAUUUAGUGUGGAAGUGUCUUUCAACAUAGACUCAUUUAAACGCCAAGUCCCCCUGUGGUGGGACUCUGUAUUUAGGGUCAGAGCGAUGCUGAUUGGUGCAUGAGACCACGAGCGGGUAUAUAUAUUUGCGUCACUAAGGUCCCCCAAAUAGUGUUGUGUAAGGAACACAUAAUCUAUUCUGGUGUAACGGUUAUGCCUGGCAGAGAAGAAGGUGUAAUCUUUCUCUUGAGAUUUAAGGAGUCGCCAAGCAUCUACUAACUGUAGCCUAUGUAAAUCUUUAAUUAUAUUCCUGACAAUCCCAGAAGAAACACUGGAUUUGCUUGUGGAGCAGUCAAUGUGGGGGUUAAGAGGGACAUUUAGAUCCCCGCCAAGAACCAAGAUUCCUUCCAUAAUACUCAACAAGGCCUCCGUUAUUAUAUGAAAAGCUUUAUCUUGUUGUUCAUUGGGCAGGUUUAUGGCUGCAAAAGUGAACAUCUGAGUCCCCAAAGUCCCUUUCACAAAAACAAAUCUCCCAUCCGGGUCCUUUUUUGUAGAGAGAACCUGAAAGUGAAAAUUUUUCCCAAAUAAAAUAGCCACUCCCUUAGUCUUGCUCUGUUAUGGUAAACUGCAAUACAUUUCUGGAAAAUAUCUAUUAGACCAUGUAGGAACACAAGAUGUCUUAAAAUGGGUCUCCUGUACAAAGGCCACCUGUGCCUUAAGACAUCUUAGUUCGGAGCUUAAAAGAAUAAGUUUAUGAGGUGAGUUGAGUCCAUUUGCGUUAAUACUGACUAUAUUCACUUGUAUUUGUUUCUUAUCAGGAACGGAUUGAUUCGGCAUACUCAUAGUACUAUUGUAGGAAGUAUAGAUGGAAGAAUAGUAGGAAUAGGAUAUGAGAAUUCAGAGAGAAGAGAGAAGUUGGAUCAGGAGGGAAAAGCACCUCCUGUUAAGCGGGGUAGGGUGUAAGUAAGCUCUUACCAACGGAAGGAGGACUAGCCGUUACUUCCGUAUAGUUAUAAGCUGGUAAUGAGCGUAUUGGGGUGGUGUAUCUGAUAACAACCGAAAUAGGA